UUCCCAAAACCUCCAAUUCCAA
rnacentral:miRNA from 1 species